rfam:Capsicum annuum cultivar Zunla-1 chromosome 1, whole genome shotgun sequence
UGAUGAUGGUGAGGGCAAUUUCUGAGGAUACUCUUAAAUUUCUCCUAUGCUUGUUAGAGAUUCUCUUCUUUUUUCUGUGUCAAACUCAGAAUCUCGCUUCUGAAUCA